UACGGAGGGUGCAAGCGUUGUUCGGAAUCAUUGGGCGUAAAGCGCGUGUAGGCGGCUUGGCAAGUCAGAUUGUGAAAGCCCGGGGCCCAACCCCACGGAAUUGCAUCUGAAACUGCCUGGCUAGAGUCCCGGAGAGGAAGGCAGAAUUCCCGGUGUAGGGGUGAAAUCCGUAGAAUAUCGGGAGGAAUACCAGCGGCGAAAGGCGGCCUUCUGGACGGUGACUGACGCUGAGACGCGAAAGCGUGGGGAGC
rnacentral:rRNA from 1 species